AGCCAUGCAUGUCUAAGUACAAACGAUUUAAUCGUGAAACCGCGAACGGCUCAUUACAACAACUUCAAUCUACUUGAUCUUGACAAUCCUAAUUGGAUAACUGAGGUAAUUCUUGAGCUAAUACAUGAACAACACCCCCAUGCAUUUAUGUAUGGUGCGCAUUUAUUUGAGCAAAAUCAAACAGUCGCAAGACUGUACCGUUGACUCAGAAUAACUCAGCUGAUCGCAUGGCCUCGUGCCGGCGACGUGUCUUUCGAGUGUUUGCCUUAUCAACUUGUCGGUAGUGUAAUUGUCUACCGUGGUAGUAACGGGUAACGGAGGAUCAGGGUUCGACUCCGGAGAAGGGGCCUGAGAAAUGGCCACUACGUCUAAGGAUGGCAGCAGGCGCGCAAAUUAUCCACUCUCGGCAUGAGGAGAUAGUGACGGAAAAUACCAAGACAGCCCCAUUGGGGUUUGUCAUUGGAAUGGGUACAAUCUAAGCCCUUGGACGAGUAUCUAUGAGAGGGCAAGUCUGGUGCCAGCAGCCGCGGUAAUUCCAGCUCUCAAACUGAAUAGGACUAUUGCUGCGGUUAAAAAGCUCGUAGUUGGACUUGUGUCGGAGCCCCGGUCUACACUUCGGUGUACGACUGGGCAAACUCUGACUUAUUGUCAGUGCUUACUCAUCGGGCUUGACUGCUCGGUGUGUGGGUCUGGCGCAGUUACUUUGAACAAAUCAGAGUGCUCAAGACAGGCGUAUGCCUGAAUGUUCGCGCAUGGAAUAAUGGAAGAGGAUUUCGGUUCGCUUUUCAUUGGUUUUUCGGCCGAGAUAAUGGUUAAUAGAGACAGACGGGGGCAUCUGUAUUUCUGCGUGAGAAGGUGAAAUUUUUGGACCGCAGAAGGACAAACUACAGCGAAAGCAUUUGCCAAGCAUGUCUUCAUUAAUCAAGAACGAAAGUCAGAGGAUCGAAGGCGAUUAGAUACCGCCCUAGUCUCUGACCGUAAACGAUGCCAACUAGCGAUCUGUCGGCGGAUAUCCAUCCUCGAUAGGGAGCUUCCCGGAAACGAAAGUCUUCCGGUUCCGGGGGAAGUAUGGUUGCAAAGCUGAAACUUAAAGGAAUUGACGGAAGGGCACCACCAGGAGUGGAGCCUGCGGCUUAAUUUGACUCAACACGGGAAACCUCACCCGGGCACGACACCGUGGGGAUUGACAAACUGAAGCUUUUUCAUGAUUCGGUGGAUGGUGGUGCAUGGCCGUUCUUAGUUCGUGGAGUGAUCUGUCUGGUUUAUUCCGAUAACGAGCGAGACUCUAGUCUGCUAAAUAGUUGGCCACCGCUACGGUGUGCGACUUCUUAGAGGGAUCUCCGGUGCACAGCCGGAAGAAACGGAGCAAUAACAGGUCUGUGAUGCCCUUAGAUGUCCGGGGCUGCACGCGCGCUACACUGGCAAAAUCAGCGUGUUAUUCUGCCUCGAAAGAGGUGGAUAAUCCCUUGAAAAUUUGCCGUGAUUGGGAUCGGAGAUUGCAAUUAUUCUCCGUGAACGAGGAAUUCCAAGUAAGUGCGAGUCAUUAACUUGCGUUGAUUACGUCCCUGCCCUUUGUACACACCGCCCGUCGCUACCUGGGACUGAGACAUUUCGAGAUGUCUGUGGAUUCCGUUUGCACAAAUGGAAAAAGCAAAUUAAUCGAAAUGCCUUGAACUGGGUAAAAGUCGUAACAAGGUAGC
rnacentral:rRNA from 1 species